ACAACAUUUAGGAAAUGAAGAGGGGAAACUCAAAAUUAUGGACCUCUGCAGGUCAAUGUGGAAAAAAAAGUCAAGAUGUUUUCCUUGUCAACUGGCGAUGGGCUCAGCAGUGAAGAUUUCAGGUCUCUAUACCAUGUAGGCUGUAUACCAGUACCUAAAAGAG